rnacentral:rRNA from 1 species
UACGUAGGGUGCGAGCGUUAAUCGGAAUUACUGGGCGUAAAGCGUGCGCAGGCGGCUUUGCAAGUCAGAUGUGAAAUCCCCGGGCUUAACCUGGGAACUGCAUUUGUGACUGCAUGGCUGGAGUGCGGCAGAGGGGGAUGGAAUUCCGCGUGUAGCAGUGAAAUGUGUAGAUAUCUGGAGGAACACCAGUGGCGAAGGCGGCAUCCUGGCCCUGUCCUGACGCUCAGGGGCGAAAGCGUGGGGAGCAAACCGG